AACGAACGCUGGCGGCAUGCCUAACACAUGCAAGUCGAACGAGACCUUCGGGUCUAGCGGCGCACGGGUGCGUAACGCGUGGGAACCUGCCCUUAGGUUCGGAAUAACUCCCCGAAAGGGGUGCUAAUACCGGAUAAUGUCUUCGGACCAAAGAUUUAUCGCCUUUGGAUGGGCCCGCGUUGGAUUAGCUAGUUGGUAGGGUAAAAGCCUACCAAGGCGACGAUCCAUAGCUGGUCUGAGAGGAUGAUCAGCCACACUGGGACUGAGACACGGCCCAGACUCCUACGGGAGGCAGCAGUGGGGAAUAUUGGACAAUGGGCGAAAGCCUGAUCCAGCAAUGCCGCGUGAGUGAUGAAGGCCUUAGGGUUGUAAAGCUCUUUUACCCGGGAUGAUAAUGACAGUACCGGGAGAAUAAGCGCCGGCUAACUCCGUG
rnacentral:rRNA from 1 species